GUGGGGAAUCUUGCGCAAUGGGCGAAAGCCUGACGCAGCCAUGCCGCGUGAAUGAUGAAGGUCUUAGGAUUGUAAAAUUCUUUCACCGGGGACGAUAAUGACGGUACCCGGAGAAGAAGCUCCGGCUAACUUCGUGCCAGCAGCCGCGGUAAUACGAAGGGGGCUAGCGUUGCUCGGAAUUACUGGGCGUAAAGGGCGCGUAGGCGGACAGUUUAGUCAGAGGUGAAAGCCCAGGGCUCAACCUUGGAAUUGCCUUUGAUACUGGUUGUCUUGAGUACGGGAGAGGUGAGUGGAACUCCGAGUGUAGAGGUGAAAUUCGUAGAUAUUCGGAAGAACACCAGUGGCGAAGGCGACUCACUGGCCCGUUACUGACGCUGAGGCGCGAAAGCGUGGGGAGCAAACAGGAUUAGAAACCCGAGUAGUCC
rnacentral:rRNA from 1 species